rnacentral:misc_RNA from 1 species
AACAUCGCGCACCUGCGGGAACCUGCGGAAGGAUCAUUCAAGAAAACUCGGGCGCGAUGGCCGAACGGAAAAUGCGUUUUCCUAGUAGGUGGUCGCAAACGAGGAAAUCCAAAUGGAAACCUUGUGUGCACUGUCGCUCUGCGAUCUCUUUUGGCGCGCAGUCUAGUUGUCGCUCGCGGGCGGCAGCCGGGCGCGCCAGAGACUUUGGCUUAAUUACGUGGUUUUGUUGUGUCUGAACUA